rnacentral:rRNA from 1 species
AUAACAAUACCGGGCUCUAUGAGUCUGGUAAUUGGAAUGAGUACAAUCUAAAUCCCUUAGCGAGGAUCCAUUGGAGGGCAAGUCUGGUGCCAGCAUCCGCGGUGAUUCCAGCUCCAA